UACGUAGGGGCUAGCGUUAUCCGGAAUUACUGGGCGUAAAGGGUGCGUAGGUGGUUUCUUAAGUCAGAGGUGAAAGGCUACGGCUCAACCGUAGUAAGCCUUUGAAACUGGGAAACUUGAGUGCAGGAGAGGAGAGUGGAAUUCCUAGUGUAGCGGCGAAAUGCGUAGAUAUUAGGAGGAACACCAGUUGCGAAGGCGGCUCUCUGGACUGUAACUGACACUGAGGCACGAAAGCGUGGGGAGCAAAACAGGAUUAGAUACCCUGGUAGUCCCUGAG
rnacentral:rRNA from 1 species